rnacentral:lncRNA from 1 species
GGAGCAGCUUCAGCCCAGACCCCCAGUGCAGGUGCUGCUCCAGCCCUGAAGCAUCCCACAACCAUGGCUGGCAGAUGCCAAGGGGAUGUGUGAGAUGGCCCAGCUCCAGGAUGAAACUCAACUUUAGGGAAGCUGGGGAGAGCCUCACAGCGCUGGACAAGCCAUCAGAUGGCACUGCCCCCAGGGACACACCCGGGGGCGUGGACAGGGAUAUGGAGGACCUAAGGCAAAGGGUGGCUUCAAACGUGACAGCAGAUCAGCCGCUGGGGAAAUACCAGAGGGGAUUUGACAGCUGGGCCAGGUGUUCCAGGACAGCACUUUCCAAAAGAUUUUCCAUCCAAACUUCCAGCAAGAAGUAGAUCUUCCAUCGUUAUCCAGAGCAUAUCUACGCAUUCAGAUGAAGAAAACAACACUGACAUGCAUUAUCUCCCAACACCAACCUCAACCCAGCCCUGGAGUGUGAGCAGAGCCAGCAGCAUUUCCAGCCCCGCCUCUGGAGGAAGGAGAGGAACCUGAGACUCUUGGGUGACCUGAGGCGUCUCUGGCAGCACCAGCAAAAGAGCCUGGCCCUGGCCGCCCAGCACAGGUGCUCAGUCCCUCCUGACUGCCACUGCUCCCUCAACACCAAAGCACAGGGUCGCGAGAUGUUGGGAGAGGGUCGGGGAUGCUGGGCUGGGAGAGGACCGGGGGCCUGUCAGAAGCCAUGACAUGAUGCACUCACCGCUCAGGAGGAAGCUACUGGCCUUUGAGUGAAAUCUAUAAGAAUGAACUCUGGAGAUGUAUCGUACAACAUGGAGUCUACAGUUAAAAACUGUAUUGUAUACUGGAAAAUUGCUAAGAUUAGAUCUUCCAUGUUCUCACUACAAAAGCAUAAGUAUGUGAGAUGACGGACGUGUGUGUCAGCUUGAUUUAAUCAUUUUGCAGUGUGGCAAAGCAUCGCACUGUAGGUGGUAAAUAUAUAUACAGUUUUGUCAAUUAUACCUUCAGGAAGCUGGGGUGGUUGGUGUGUGUGUGUGUGUCUGUGUGAUGUGAGGUCAGUGAGGUGCUGAACAUGGUGCAUUAAACAGCA